UACGUAGGGUGCGAGCGUUAAUCGGAAUUACUGGGCGUAAAGCGUGCGCAGGCGGUUCGUUGUGUCGGCGGUGAAAGCCCCGGGCUUAACCUGGGAAUGGCCGUUGAAACUGGCGAACUGGAGUGUGGCAGAGGGGGGUGGAAUUCCACGUGUAGCAGUGAAAUGCGUAGAGAUGUGGAGGAACACCGAUGGCGAAGGCAAUCCCCUGGGCCUGCACUGACGCUCAUGCACGAAAGCGUGGGGAGCAAACAGG
rnacentral:rRNA from 1 species